rnacentral:lncRNA from 1 species
CUCGGCCCGGCUCCCUCCUCAGGAGGCCUCGGGCCACGCCCCUGCAGAGCUGGGACCAGGAACUGUGUUUCUGCGGCUGCCGGGGCCCUGCCUUGCCGGAGCCCGCCGCCCGCCGCAUCCUGGGUGACUACUGGCUGAGUCCGCAGCGCCACGGCCCACCCAGCGCCGCCUAGGGCUGGCCGUCGGCGCGCAGGAUUGAGCUGCUGCCUGGGGCCACCGGCCCGGCCGAUGUGCAGUCGCCGAGCUGGCCCGCUGGCCAAGGCGCGCGCCCGCACCUCACUUGGAAGCACCGAUGGCAGAAUAUUAACUACCAGUUCCAGAGCAAGAGGAAGAGACACCUGGUUUUCCUGCGCCCGUGAGAGCCGCCUCAUCUGUGUGGGUUGUGCCAUCAGUAUCCCCGUUGUACCCAGGGAUUUGGGGACACAGGCUUCAGGCUUUUUGCAUGAUGAUCCCGAAGCAGACUUGCACCAUGCCAAGGAUGAGCUGGAAGGAGUGCUGAACAAUUCAGUGCCCCCUGUCUUCAGAUUAUCUGCCUUAUCUCCCUCUUGGGGUCUCUGAGAUCCUGCCCUUCACACUCCAAAUAAAUGAGCUUCUGCCUCUCUGGG